AAAGUCUCCUCUCUCUGGGUGUGCAGAACACAUGCCCUAGAAAGGAAGAGAACUCGGUAAUGGUUUCUUAGGAGAAAUAAACCCCAAGUGGAAGUGGACAUUUGAGCAGAGUUUUAAAAGAAAAGUCAGGCUGGCAAACCGGAAGCCUCCUGGGGUGAGGUUGAACCUCUGCAAAGCUCUGGUUUCUCAUUGACCAUCUUGUUGUUCUCAGUUACAAAUCAGUCUGGACCUUCCCUGUUUUCUUCCAUCAUCCUCCAUCCUUAGAGAGAUCAUCUCAGCCCAGAGACAAAAAGCUAUUAUUCUGGUUUCUGGUUUGUAUUUUUUUAACUGCCUGAGAAGAUGUGCUGUCCGUCUCCUCGGGUAUAAAAUGGGGAUAACACCCCUAUCCUGGUAUGGUUGUUAUAAGGCUGGAACAUGAGGGGAAUUAAACAAAGUUGGGUUCCUGCCCCCUUACCAAAAAUACUUUGACUAAUUUCGAAUACUUUGUUCGUUCAGUGAUUAUUUAUUGAGCACCUACUAUGGGCCAGGAACUGUUCUGAGUACCGUAGAGGUAGCAGUGGAUAAGAUAAAGUUCCUGUCGUUGUAAGGCUGACUUUCUAUUGGGAAGAAAUAGGCGAGGACCUGAUAAGCAAAUAAAUAAUAUAAACUCAGAUCAUCAGUGAAGAUAACAAAUAGGACAAUAAAGUAAAGAAUGACUGUGGGGUUGGAAGGAUCACAUACACAUCUUUCCAUGCUAAGCUAAGAUUUUAAACCAGUGUGCUAAAUGUUCCCAUAAGUGAUCAAACUGAUAAAUACAGUGAUUAAUACUCCAGGACUGACUACUACCAGAUCGUCUUCCAGACCAUGGGUCCUGAAUUGGGGUGGCAGACCUUAGUCUCUACAUUCAAGUUGCAUUUGCAUAGCAGGCUGAUCAGAGGGCCCAGGUGUAACUUGCCAUCUCAGUAGACCCUGAUGUCCACAGAAGGGGGCCACAUAAGGUUAAACCCAGGGCCAGGUAUUUCAAGGGUGGCUGGCAGGGCUCUUUGCCUGGUUGUACACAGAACACCAAAAGUUAAACUAAGGUCUCUGACCCCUAGAUCCUUGGAGCCCCAGAGAGGCUAUUGCUUUGUGUAGAUGAAGCUAAAGCCAGAAUCGUGACUGAAUUACAGCCAGGAAACCACGUGUGGCAGCGGAACUGCUGGAGGUGUUGAGCCAGGACAGAGCAGCUCAUACCAUCUGAGUUGAGGCAUGAAUGAUGUGGAGCCAACCACGUGGAUUCCUGCAGAAGAGUCUUCCAGGCCAAGGGAAGAGCCAGUGUGGGGACCCACAGUUGAGGACAACGAGGAGACAAAGUCUGGUGUGGCUGCGGUUUGGGGACCAAGUCAGAGAGUGGCAUGUAAUGAGGUCAGAAAAGUCAGCAGCGUCCAGAACUGCAGAGCCCUGCAAGGAGUUUGAGUUUUAUUUCACGUGCAAUCGGGAGACUUCGAAGGGCAUUAAACAGGGUAGUCACGGGAUCCAAUAUAUGUUUUCCAAAGAUUGUUCUGGCUGUUGUGUGGAGAAUAGAAGUGGAGGGGCAAUGAGAAAUAGGGAGGGCUUCCCUGGUGGCGCAGUGGUUGAGAGUCCACCUGCCAGUGCGGGGGACGCGGGUUCGUGCCCCGGUCCGGGAAGAUCCCACGUGCCGCGGAGCGGCUGGGCCCGUGAGCCGUGGCCGCUGAGCCUGCGCGUCCGGAGCCUGUGCUCCGCAACGGGAGAGGCCGCAACAAUGAGAGGCCUGCGUACCGCGAAAAAAAAAAAAAAAAAAAAAAAAAAAGAGAGAAAUAGAGAGACCAGUUAGGAGGCGGGUGGGCGAGUGCAAGUGAGGGUGAUGGUGGCACGGACGAGGGAAGUGGAAGUGGAGAUGGAGGAGAAUGGAAGGAGUUAGGGUACAUGUUAGAAGUGGCACUGGCGGCACCUGCUGACAGGGUGUAAAGGAAAAGGAGAAAUCAAGGAAGCCAGCGGAUGCAAAGACUGGGGGGCAAACAGGUGUUUUAGCUGGAAAUGACAAGUUCAGUUUUAAAUACAGUAAGUUGACAUUGCUUGUGAGACAUAUAUUCCUUUAAACAUUCUCUGAUUUAGUCCAGGUUUGCCCCUAUUUGUCUGAAUUAAAUGAGCUUCCUAUGUCAUGCUCUAGAAACUCCACUCAAGUUCCUGCCUGAGAUUCUGGACAAGAGUUGGUUGUUCUUUAAUGGCAACAGUGAUAUCAUAGACUUGAGAAGAUGUCCUAAUUUCCCAUUUAGAGAGGCCCUCCUGGUCUCUGGUUGUGCUCAGCUUUUCUUUCCCUUUAUAGACCUCCCCGGGGCAUCUGCAUUGCAGAGGGGAGAGGCAGUGGGGCAGGUAGACCAAGGACACCCAGAAGGCAGAGAGACAACUGGGUCAUAGACCCCAACAUGUGACCCUCAGUUACCCUGGAUUGGGUGGUUAGCGUUUGGGCUUCUUUCUGUUUAGGUUGGGGAUAGACAGUGGAUAAUCAAAGAAAAAGAGAGCAUAUGAGAUGAGAUGUUUAGUUUGCAGAAAGUUGAGGUGGGAGAGAAAGCCAGCAGCCCGUCAGGAAAGAGGGGAGGGAGUCAGGAUUGCCUGUGCACCUGAUGGAAAGAACCCAGCGGAGGGUCUUGAACCAAAUAGAUGAGCUCAUUUCCUCGAGGACCAGGAAUCUGGAGAAAGGAUGCAUUCUAAUUUGAGUGUGGAAGAUACAGGUUAUAACUAUGAAGAGAUGUGAGCUUCCCAGAUAAGCAGGUAGCAGAAGAUCUGGGCUGAGGGUAGAGGGUAGAUUUCAAGGACUAAGCUAUGCAGUCUAGCUUUGUUUUCAGUUUUUUGUUUUGUUUUGUCUUUUUCUGUUCUUGUUGUUUAGUGCAAACUAAAGCAAUCUCUAGAGGCAAAUGACCUGAAUGCUUAAGACCAUAUAUAUGGUUUUUCCCCAAGGAUCUUUAUAUCACUGAUAUUCCUACUGUCAUCACAAGGCUGGAAUUUAGUGUCUGCUCACUAAUUUCAAUUCCUGAAAUGGUAAAGACCAUGGGCACUGGAGUCAGAGAACUUGGGUUUGAAUCCUGACCCUGCCAUCUACUAUGAAAUUGGACAUGUUACUUAGACCCUCUUUAUCUCAACUACUUCAUCUUUAAAAUGGGGUCAGCGGACUUCCCUGGAGGGCCAAUGGUUAAGACUCCAUGCUUCCAAUGCAGGGGAGACGGGUUCAAUCCCUGAUCCCACCUGCCUCGUGCCCUACUCCCACCACCAAAAUGGGAGCCAUGAUAGUCCCUACCCAAUAGAGCUGUGGUGAGGAUAAAAGGAGUGAAUGCAUGUUAAGCCCUUGAAGUAGUGCCUGGCACCUAUUAAGCCCACUAAAAUUCCAUUUCUUAUAGGAAAAGAACAGAGGAGAAAACGGGCCAACAAGUUGUAGCUCCUUAGUCCCCCAAGUUUUCUGUGAGAUCGAAGAAGAGGCCAGAGUAAACAUAGGUGAUUUAUCACGUCAUCUUGGCAUGCUGGCAUGAGUACCUGGGGACCCACUGGAUCCUACAUUAGAAGAAGGGGAGGCUUGUGGGAUCUUAGUUCCCUGACCAGGGAUCGAACCCGUGCCCCCUGCAUUGGAAGGGCGGAGUCUUAACCGCUGGACCACCAGGGAAGUACCUGAGAUACGGUACCUGGAACAGCAGUGGCCACCGUGCAGCCCUGGGGAAGCCCAGCUGGAGCAAUGCCAGUGCCCUGAGGAUGACUGACUAGGAGGACAAGAACAGCUUAGGGCUCUGAUGGCCUUGCAAAGUCAGUCACUGGCUUAACCAAACCCAAGGAGUUCUACCAGGACCUCUUUUAUGUGAGAUGAUUCAUUUUCUUUACUGCUCUAAGCUGAUCAGUUUGGACUUUUCUGUUACUUGCAGCAGAAGCACUAGAACCAAUAACAAUGGCAAUUCACACCGUUUCUUACCAUCCCAGUGAGGAAAGUAGAUGGUCAGAGCAGAGCACUCACGUUACAUCACUCUAAGCUAUAAUGUAAUCAGUGCCCCUGGAGUUGCACAAAGCAGGUUCCGGAAAGCAGGGAGUGAGCAAAUCGCUUCAUUUGAGUCACCGAGGGGAUCAAGAAGAAAGCCAGGAAGAAGGCAGCCAAGACGGUGGCUUCCUCCUUGAAGGUCAGCUGGAGCAUGGAGCCUGGCUCAGCCAGCUCUCAUUCCUUUUGCCCAUAAACUUGGGCCACUUCACUCUACAUCUCGAAGCUUCAGCUUUUCUUAUCUGUAAGAUAUAUGCCUCGCAGGUUGCUGUGAGAAUACAAAAUAAUGCAUGAUAAUUCAUGUAGUGUGGUGCUAACAGCCCAUGCACUAUGGGCAUUCAGUAAAGGCAGCUUUUAUUUUAACAAGCGUGAUGAUUCCCAAACUUUUUCUGCCUCAGGUCUUUGAUGGUAGCAAAGACCCUCU